AUACGGAGGGUGCAAGCGUUGUUCGGAAUUACUGGGCGUAAAGCGCGUGUAGGCGGCCAGGUAAGUCGGAUGUGAAAUCCCGGGGCCCAACCCCGGAACUGCACCCGAUACUGCUUGGCUGGAGUCCCGGAGAGGAUGGCGGAAUUUCCGGUGUAGAGGUGAAAUUCGUAGAUAUCGGAAGGAACACCAGUGGCGAAGGCGGCCAUCUGGACGGUGACUGACGCUGAGACGCGAAAGCGUGGGGAGCAAACAGGAUUAGAAGCCCCAGUAGUCA
rnacentral:rRNA from 1 species